UGGGGAAUCUUGCACAAUGGGCGCAAGCCUGAUGCAGCAACGCCGCGUGCGGGAAGACGGCCCUAGGGUUGUAAACCGCUUUCAGGAGGGAAGAAAAUGACGGUACCUCCAGAAGAAGGUGCGGCCAACUACGUGCCAGCAGCCGCGUGACACGUAGGCACCAAGCGUUAUCCGGAUUUAUUGGCGUAAAGAGCUCGUAGGCGGUUCGGUAAGUCGGGUGUGAAAAUCCAAGGCUCAACCUUGGGACGCCACCCGAUACUGCUGUGACUCGAGUGCAGUAGGGGAGCAGGGAAUUCCUGGUGUAGCGGUGAAAUGCGCAGAUAUCAGGAGGAACACCAGUGGCGAAGGCGCUGCUCUGGGCUGUAACUGACGCUGAGGAGCGAAAAGCAUGGGUAGCAAAACAGGAUUAGAUACCCUGGUAGUCCAUGCCGUAAAACGUUGGGCACUAGGUGUGGGUCUCAACCAACGAGAUCCGCGCCGUCGCUAACGCAUUAAGUGCCCCGCCUGGGGAGUAC
rnacentral:rRNA from 1 species